CAAUGGCCUAGUGGUUAGAGCGUUCGCUUCGGAUGCGGGAGGUCGUGGUUUCUAUUCCCGGCUGUCAUACCA